GACGAACGCUGGCGGCGUGCUUAACACAUGCAAGUCGAACGGAAAGGCCCUGCUUGUGUGGUGUGCUCGAGUGGCGAACGGGUGAGUAACACGUGAGUAACCUGCCCUUGACUUUGGUAUAACUUCAGGAAACUGGGUCUAAUACCGUAUAGGAGCUCCUGCUGCAUGGUGGGGGGUGGAAAGUUUCGGCGGUUGGGGAUGGACUCGCGGCUUAUCAGCUUGUUGGUGGGGUAGUGGCUUACCAAGGCUUUGACGGGUAGCCGGCCUGAGAGGGUGACCGGCAACAUUGGGACUGGAAUACGGCCAAGACUCCUCGGGGAGGAAGAAGUGGGGAAUAUUGAAAAAUGGGCGGAAGCCUGAUGAAGAAACGCCGCGUGCGGGAUGACGGCCUUCGGGUUGUAACCCGCUUUGCCCUGUGACGAAGCGUGAGUGACGGUAAUGGGUAAAGAAGCACCGGCUAACUACGUG
rnacentral:rRNA from 1 species